rnacentral:rRNA from 1 species
CCUACGGGAGGCUGCAGUGGGGAAUAUUGCACAAUGGGGGAAACCCUGAUGCAGCGACGCCGCGUGGAGGAAGAAGGUCUUCGGAUUGUAAACUCCUGUUGUUGAGGAAGAUAAUGACGGUACUCAACAAGGAAGUGACGGCUAACUACGUGCCAGCAGCCGCGGUAAAACGUAGGUCACAAGCGUUGUCCGGAAUUACUGGGUGUAAAGGGAGCGCAGGCGGGAGAACAAGUUGGAAGUGAAAUCCAUGGGCUCAACCCAUGAACUGCUUUCAAAACUGUUUUUCUUGAGUAGUGCAGAGGUAGGCGGAAUUCCCGGUGUAGCGGUGGAAUGCGUAGAUAUCGGGAGGAACACCAGUGGCGAAGGCGGCCUACUGGGCACCAACUGACGCUGAGGCUCGAAAGUGUGGGUAGCAAACAGGAUUAGAUACCCUUGUAGUC